GGAGUUGGUGAGGGCGAUCUUGGUUGCAACAUGUCACUCAAUUUAUCGCUAGGGUUGACUCGGCUGAUCUGGCUGGCUAGGCGGGUGUCCCCUUCCUCCCUCACCGCUCCAUGUGCGUCCCUCCCAAAGCUGCUCGCACAGUCGAAGGAAGACGGCCUUGCCUGAAUAGAGACAGACCCGUCUUCAUUUGAGGGUGUAUGAGUAGCUGCGCUCCCCUGAUAGAACCUCCAAACAAGCUCUCAAGUUGGGGGCUGGAAUAGUCUUGACUCCUGGGGUCAAAGGCUUAAACAGUAGUGGCCGCCCAGCCAUUUUUA
ensembl:misc_RNA 7SK 7SK RNA